GACGAACGCUGGCGGCGUGCUUAACACAUGCAAGUCGAACGGAAAGGCCCUGCUUUUGUGGGGUGCUCGAGUGGCGAACGGGUGAGUAACACGUGAGUAACCUGCCCUUGACUGUGGGAUAACUUCAGGAAACUGGGGCUAAUACCGGAUAGGAGCUCCUGCUGCAUGGUGGGGGUUGGAAAGUUUCGGCGGUUGGGGAUGGACUCGCGGCUUAUCAGCUUGUUGGUGGGGUAGUGGCUUACCAAGGCUUUGACGGGUAGCCGGCCUGGGCGGGUGACCGGCCACAUUGGGACUGAGAUACGGCCCAGACUCCUACGUGAGGCAGCAGUGGCGAAUAUUGCACAAUGGGCGGAAGCCUGAUGCAGCAACGCCGCGUGCGGGAUGACGGCCUUCGGGUUGUAAACCGCUUUCGCCUGUGACGAAGCGUGAGUGACGGUAAUGGGUAAAGAAGCACCGGCUAACUACGUG
rnacentral:rRNA from 1 species